rnacentral:rRNA from 1 species
UAGCUUGCUACUUUACCUAGCGGCGGACGGGUGAGUAAUGCUUAGGAAUCUGCCUAUUAGUGGGGGACAACAUCUCGAAAGGGAUGCUAAUACCGCAUACGUCCUACGGGAGAAAGCAGGGGACCUUCGGGCCUUGCGCUAAUAGAUGAGCCUAAGUCGGAUUAGCUAGUUGGUGGGGUAAAGGCCUACCAAGGCGACGAUCUGUAGCGGGUCUGAGAGGAUGAUCCGCCACACUGGGACUGAGACACGGCCCAGACUCCUACGGGAGGCAGCAGUGGGGAAUAUUGGACAAUGGGGGGAACCCUGAUCCAGCCAUGCCGCGUGUGUGAAGAAGGCCUUUUGGUUGUAAAGCACUUUAAGCGAGGAGGAGGCUACCGAGAUUAAUACUCUUGGAUAGUGGACGUUACUCGCAGAAUAAGCACCGGCUAACUCUGUGCCAGCAGCCGCGGUAAUACAGAGGGUGCAAGCGUUAAUCGGAUUUACUGGGCGUAAAGCGCGCGUAGGUGGCCAAUUAAGUCAAAUGUGAAAUCCCCGAGCUUAACUUGGGAAUUGCAUUCGAUACUGGUUGGCUAGAGUAUGGGAGAGGAUGGUAGAAUUCCAGGUGUAGCGGUGAAAUGCGUAGAGAUCUGGAGGAAUACCGAUGGCGAAGGCAGCCAUCUGGCCUAAUACUGACACUGAGGUGCGAAAGCAUGGGGAGCAAACAGGAUUAGAUACCCUGGUAGUCCAUGCCGUAAACGAUGUCUACUA